UGGCCCCAUAUUCGAAAGUGAGGGAAAGCUUGAACUUGAUUGCACCCAAGAAACUCUUACUGAAGGAGCGAUUGGUGCAGCUGCAGAUUGCUCAGAUUUGACCGCGGCCUCCAUCUCGGCCUGAACCUCAGUUGGUAGAGCUAUCGAUGUUGCUACGGCAGCUCUUUCUCUUGUCGUCCCUUCUUCAGACGGCAUGUUGGGAAGCACUAUCGGGGCUGACAACACUAGAACUAGUUCAGGAACCGAUGCAGGUUGUACAGUGGGUUCCUCAGUCGGUACAGAAGCAGAAGCCCGACCCUUCUUCGAUGGUCGAAAAGGUCCAAUCUCAGACGCUACCCUCUUCUUGACAGUGUGUUGAUGA
rnacentral:lncRNA from 1 species